UUAAGUAGAGGUGCGGUGAUCAACAGUAUCACACCGGAGGUGCUGACAGCCGGUGAGGGUGUGAAAAAGGGUGAACCGCCGAAGUGAGGCCGGUAGUCAGAACGGGUUUGCUGGGUCUGCGGUGAAUAACUGCAGGACUGUCACCGGUUACGGUGGAGUGCUACUUC
rnacentral:ncRNA from 1 species